rnacentral:lncRNA from 1 species
GCUUGCUACGGGUCUCGGCGGCCUUAAGCCGAUCUGGAUCCUAGCGCCGGUGGCGGUUCGGGCCGUUACGGUAGGGUAUCGGUUUCCGGGAUGUUACACAUAGCCCUCGAUCUAUGAUAUGACGAUGUGAUAUGUACGGUACGGAAAGUAAGACCAGUGGGACCCAUUCUACGUUCGCUGGCACUAUGUAAGAGAAAGACCAGGACCCAUUCUACGUUCUGGCACAGUUG